UUGCCGGCAAUUCUUCGCUGCAUCAGCAAAGUAUAUAUUAUCGAAUUAUAUUUAAUAUUCUGCAUAUUUAAUUAUGUGCAGAAUAUGCAUACGUAUGCAUUCAAAGUGCCGAUACAAUAAUCUGUAGUUAUGACGAAGCCCCCAAGAGCAUCAAAUUAUUGCAAAUGCAAGCUAAUUGCCAAUUGACGGCGAUAAAAAUUUUGUUUUCAUGUUUUUAGCGCUUGCCGGAGCAGAUAGGGCUUAUAUAAACCGGAUGAUUGGAGGCGUAAAGCAAAGUCCAUGUCCAUGAAAGUCCCUGAAAUCUGUCAUAUCUUAUUAAAAUUGUCAAGUUCCCAGGGGUUACGGUGUCAAUUGUUUGCAGUUGCAAACCUUCUAAAUAAUAAUUUUAUCUUAUUAUAUACAAAUAAAAUAAUACACGUUAUGAAUACUAAU